CUUGUACUCCUUCCGUCCGAAAAUACUUGUCAUUGAAAUGGAUGUAUCUAGAUGUAUUUUAGUUCUAGACACAUCCAUUUUGAUGACAAGUAAUUCCGGACGGAGGGAGUACUUG
rnacentral:pre_miRNA from 1 species